rnacentral:pre_miRNA from 1 species
GUUGUACUCCCUCCGUCCGAAAAAACUUGUCCCAAGCUUGUCUCUCAAAUGGAUGUAUCUAGCACCAAGUUAGUGCUAGAUACAUUCAUUUGAGGGACAAGCUUUUCCGGACGGAGGGAGUAAUAG